rnacentral:rRNA from 1 species
GUGAGGAAUUUUCCGCAAUGGGCGAAAGCCUGACGGAGCAAUGCCGCGUGAAGGAUGAAGGCCUAUGGGUUGUAAACUUCUUUUCUUAGAGAAGAAUAUUGCCGGUAUCUGAGGAAUAAGCAUCGGCUAACUCUGUGCCAGCAGCCGCGGUAAGACAGAGGAUGCAAGCGUUAUCCGGAAUGCUUGGGCGUAAAGCGUCUGUAGGUGGCUUCAAAAGUCUCAUGUCAAAGAUCAGGGCUUAACCCGGGACGGGCAGUAGAAACUCUGAGGCUAGAGUUCGGUAGGGGCAGGGGGAAUUCCCGGUGGAGCGGUGAAAUGCGUAGAGAUCGGGAGGAACACCAAAGGCGAAAGCACUCUGCUGGGCCACAACUGACACUGAGAGACGAAAGCGAGGGGAGCAAAAGGGAUUAGAUACCCGGGUAGUCC